GGUAAAUGGUUAUUGAAAACAUUAUUUUAUCCUACAGGUAAAUGGUUAUUGAAAACAUUAUUUUAUCCUACAGGUAAAUGGUUAUUGCUGGGCAGUGUUUUUGUUUUUUAAAAUUAAUUUUGAAGGGGGAAAAUGAAAUUAAGUUUGGAGUUGUUGCCAUGGAUGUGAAUGUAGAGUAUUUAUGCUGGCAGGUUGUUAGGCGACCUUCGUUACUGAGGCUCUGUGUGAUGUACAUAGACUCUACAUUUCUCAAAUGUACAUGUGUAGAUCCGUGUCAGACCCGUUUCUAUUAAAUCCAUUCUCAAACGUAA